rnacentral:lncRNA from 1 species
UUUUUUUUUUUUUUACCAAGGGUCUUAAAAUUGUUAAGUUACAUCCUGAUUAGUGGAUUUGUUCACAGCAAUAAUCCUUCUUGUACUUGCAAUUUUGUCAGCAACAAUAAAGAGUAUCAGGUAGCAUUUGACAUUUGAGAGCAGAGAAAUAACCUUUUCAAUUUACUAAAUCCUGCUUUUAAAAAGUCAUUACCUUACUGAAAAUGGGUUAAGCUGGAGAAGAAAUGUAAUCAUUUAAAUAUUUUAAAAGAAUACUGAUGGCAUUUAAAUUCAGAACGGAAAGGAUGGUUUAUUUACUAAAUGGUAUUACUAUAAUAAAUGGCUAGCUAUCAGGAAAAAGGUAAAGUUUGGCCUCUAUAUUCCACAAUUAUAAAAGUAAAUUCCAGGUGAAUUAAAGAUCUCUAUAUAAAAAAUAUGACAGUGAUGUUCACAAUAAAAGAAUUUAGGAAAAUGUCUGUAAAUAUUAGGAUGGUAAGAAACCCAUAAAGAUAUAAAGACACAUAAUAGUGAUAGCAUUUAUUACUAAUUUAUUUAUUAACAAAAAAUACCACAAACCACUCCAAAUACGUAUAGACCAGUUAAAAAAAAAAAAAAACUACUUCUAAAAUCAAUGAUCAUCAAAGAGUUAAUACCCCAGAUUUAGAAAGCACUCCCACAAACUGAUAAAAGACAACUGGAAGGAAAAACAGGCCAAUAACAUAAAGAAUAAGUUAACAGAAGAUCAAACUUAAGUGGCCAAUAAAUAUCAAAAGAUGUUAAACUCUACCAAAAAUCAUAAAGUGCCACUUACAGCAAAAAUGAGGUACUGUUUUUUUCUCAUGAAAUUAGUAACGAUUUAAAAGAGAACAUCUAGUGCUGUUAAGGAUGUCAGAAAAUGUACAAUCUCAUAUGACACUAUUAGAACCACAAAUUGCAGUAAACAUUUGGAAAAAAUGGGGAUGCCUGGAUGGCUCAGGGCAUCAUCCCAGGGUCCCGGGAUUAAGUCCCACAUUGGGCUCCCUGCGAGGAGCCUGCUUCUCUCUCUGCCUGUGUCUCAGAGACUUUCUCUGCCUGUCUCUGUCUCAUUCUCUGUCUCUAAUGAAUAAGUAUUUUUUAAAAAAAAAAUUUGGAAAAAAAUACAAUAUUUAUACAAAGUAUAUAUAUCCUUUGACCUGUAAGUCUCAUUAUCAGAAAUCCACCCUUUGGGAAUAAAACCACUGCUGUAUAAAACUAAAGACGCAUAAGUAAAAAUGUUCAUCUCCUCACUGUUUGUAAUCACGAACAACUGUUUAUAUAGCAACAAGCAAUACAAAAUCCCAUAAUAAACUACCCAAAUGUCCAUCAACAGGAAUGACUGAAUAAAUGGGACACAUGCAUACUUUAGAUGAUCUAUACUAUAGUUAAUUUUAAAUAACUUUGAAUUAUGUCUAUUAUCCUGGAAGAAUGAGAGAAGAUAAAAGAUGUGAAGACUCAUAUACAUGGAGAAUGACCCCAUUAUGAAGCAUAUAAUUAUUGUUAGUGGGGUCCAAUAAAUGUGAAUCGUAUAUAAGUAUAUGUAAAUGUGUGUUUGUACUUCUUUGGGCAUAGAGAAAGGUAUGGAAAGACAAGCUCUACAAUGUUAACAUUUGCUGGGGAAGGGAAGAAAGGAUGGAGGAGAGGAGGUUGGGGAAAAAUAAUUAACUUUUCCUUUAUAACAUGUUAAUUGCUUCAAUUGUUAUAAUUUUUUUUCCUUUGGUAAUUAAAUGAAGAAAAUAUUAAACACAAAAAUGUCUCCUCUAAUG